rnacentral:rRNA from 1 species
UACCAGCACCCCGAGUGGUCGGGACGUUUAUUGGGCCUAAAGCAUCCGUAGCCGGUUCUACAAGCCUUCCGUUAAAUCCAACUGCUUAACAGGUGGGCUGCGGAAGAUACUAUAGAGCUAGGAGGCGGGAGAGGCAAGCGGUACUCGACGGGUAGGGGUAAAAUCCGUUGAUCCAUUGAAGACCACCAGUGGCGAAGGCGGCUUGCCAGAACGCGCUCGACGGUGAGGGAUGAAAGCUGGGGGAGCAAACCGG